rnacentral:rRNA from 1 species
GACGAACGCUGGCGGCGUGCCUAAUACAUGCAAGUAGAACGCACAGUUUAUACCGUAGCUUGCUACACCAUAGACUGUGAGUUGCGAACGGGUGAGUAACGCGUAGGUAACCUGCCUGGUAGCGGGGGAUAACUAUUGGAAACGAUAGCUAAUACCGCAUAAUAUUGAUUAUUGCAUGAUAAUUAAUUGAAAGGUGCAAUUGCACCACUACCAGAUGGACCUGCGUUGCAUUAGCUAGUAGGUGAGGUAACGGCUCACCUAGGCGACGAUACAUAGCCGACCUGAGAGGGUGAUCGGCCACACUGGGACUGAGACACGGCCCAGACUCCUACGGGAGGCAGCAGUAGGGAAUCUUCGGCAAUGGACGAAAGUCUGACCGAGCAACGCCGCGUGAGUGAAGAAGGUUGUCGGAUCGUAAAGCUCUGUUGUAAGAGAAGAACGGGUGUGAGAGUGGAAAGUUCACACUGUGACGGUAUCUUACCAGAAAGGGACGGCUAACUACGUG